CAAGUCGAGCGGAGUGAUGGUGCUUGCACUAUCACUUAGCGGCGGACGGGUGAGUAAUGCUUAGGAAUCUGCCUAUUAGUGGGGGACAACAUUUCGAAAGGAAUGCUAAUACCGCAUACGUCCUACGGGAGAAAGCAGGGGAUCUUCGGACCUUGCGCUAAUAGAUGAGCCUAAGUCGGAUUAGCUAGUUGGUGGGGUAAAGGCCUACCAAGGCGACGAUCUGUAGCGGGUCUGAGAGGAUGAUCCGCCACACUGGGACUGAGACACGGCCCAGACUCCUACGGGAGGCAGCAGUGGGGAAUAUUGGACAAUGGGCGCAAGCCUGAUCCAGCCAUGCCGCGUGUGUGAAGAAGGCCUUAUGGUUGUAAAGCACUUUAAGCGAGGAGGAGGCUACUGAAGUUAAUACCUUCAGAUAGUGGACGUUACUCGCAGAAUAAGCACCGGCUAACUCUGUGCCAGCAGCCGCGGUAAUACAGAGGGUGCAAGCGUUAAUCGGAUUUACUGGGCGUAAAGCGCGCGUAGGCGGCUAAUUAAGUCAAAUGUGAAAUCCCCGAGCUUAACUUGGGAAUUGCAUUCGAUACUGGUUAGCUAGAGUGUGGGAGAGGAUGGUAGAAUUCCAGGUGUAGCGGUGAAAUGCGUAGAGAUCUGGAGGAAUACCGAUGGCGAAGGCGGCCAUCUGGCCUAACACUGACCUAGGUGCGAAAGCAUGGGGAGCAAACAGGAUUAGAUACCCUGGUAGUCCAUGCCGUAAACGAUGUCUACAAGCCUUGGGGCCUUUGAGGCUUUAGUGGCGCAGCUUAGGCGAUAAGUAGACCGCCGGGGGAGUACGGUCGCAAGACUAAAACUCAAAUGAAUUGACGGGGGCCCGCACAAGCGGUGGAGCAGGUGGUUUAAUUCGAUGCAACGCGAAGAACCUUACCUGGCCUUGACUAGUAGAACUUUCCGAGAUGGAUGGUGCCUUCGGGACUUACAUACGGUUCUGCAGGCUUUCGUCAGCUCGUGUCGUGGGAU
rnacentral:rRNA from 1 species